rnacentral:rRNA from 1 species
UACGUAGGGCGCAAGCGUUGUCCGGAAUGAUUGGGCGUAAAGCGUCCGCAGGUGGCAGUUCAAGUCUGCUGUCAAAGACCGGGGCUUAACUUCGGAAAGGCAGUGGAAACUGAACAGCUAGAGUAUGGUAGGGGCAGAGGGAAUUCCUGGUGUAGCGGUGAAAUGCGUAGAGAUCAGGAAGAACAUCGGUGGCGAAGGCGCUCUGCUGGACCAUAACUGACACUCAGGGACGAAAGCUAGGGGAGCGAAUGGG